rnacentral:rRNA from 1 species
UACGUAGGGGGCAAGCGUUGUCCGGAUUUAUUGGGCGUAAAGAGCGUGUAGGCGGUUAGGUAGGUCCGUUGUGAAAACUCGAGGCUCAACCUCGAGACGCCGAUGGAAACCCCCUAACUAGAGUCCGGAAGAGGAGAGUGGAAUUCCUGGUGUAGCGGUGAAAUGCGCAGAUAUCAGGAAGAACACCCGUGGCUAAGGCGGCUCUCUAGUACGGUACUGACGCUGAGGCGCGAAAGCUAGGGGAGCAAACGGG